rnacentral:rRNA from 1 species
AGAGUUUGAUCCUGGCUCAGAAUCAACGCUGGCGGCGUGCCUAACACAUGCAAGUCGAACGCGAAAGUCCCGCAAGGGAUUAGUAGAGUGGCAAACGGGUGAGUAACACGUGGGUGACCUGCCUUCGAGUGGGGGAUAACGUCCCGAAAGGGACGCUAAUACCGCAUAAUAUCCCGCCUUUUAAGAGGUGGAGAUCAAAGCCGGGGAUCGCAAGACCUGGCGCUCAAAGAGGGGCCCGCGUCCGAUUAGCUAGGUUGGUGGGGUAAUGGCUCACCAAGGUCAUCGAUCGGUAUCCGGCCUGAGAGGGCGGACGGACACACUGGGACUGAGACACGGCCCANACUCCUACGGGAGGCAGCAGUGGGGAAUUGUUCGCAAUGGGCGCAAGCCUGACGACGCAACGCCGCGUGGAGUGAUGAAGACCUUUCGGGGUCGUAAAACNUCCUUUGCGAUCGAGANCGANAUGGGCCUCNGGGCUUANUAACCUGGGAGGAGUGACGGNUACCGAGANAAGAAGCCCCGGUGUAACUCCGUGGCCAUGCAGCCGCGCGUAAUACCGGGGGGGGCAAGCGUUGUUCGGGAAUCACUGGGCUNUAAAGGGCUCGUNNGGUGGCCNACNUAAUUUCAGACGUGNNNUCCCUCNGGCNUUANCCCGGGGAACCUGGNGUNUGAUANCUGGGNUGGGCUUNGANGUUCNGGNAGAGG